rnacentral:rRNA from 1 species
GACGAACGCUGGCGGCGUGCUUAACACAUGCAAGUCGAACGAAGUGGCGAACGGGUGAGUAACGCGUAAUCAACCUGCCCUUCAGAGGGGGAAAACAGUUGAAAACGACUGCUAAUACCGCAUACUGAAGGAGGGGAUUGCGUCGGAUUAGCUAGUUGGAGGGGUAACGGCCCACCAAGGUGAUGAUCAGUAGCCGGUCUGGAGGGAUGGACGGCCACAAUGGGACUGGGACCCGGCCCAGACUCCUUCGGGAGGGAGCAGUGGGGAAUCUUCCGCAAAGGACGAAAGUCUGACGGAGCAACGCCGCGUGAGUGAUGACGGCCUUCGGGUUGGAAAGCUCUGUUAAUCGGGACGCGGUACCGGAAUAGAAAGCCACGGCUAACUACGUGCCAGCCGCCGCGGUAAUUC